rnacentral:misc_RNA from 1 species
CGCACAUUGCGCCCAUUAGUAUUCUAGUGGGCAUGCCUGUUCGAGCGUCAUUUCAACCCUUAAGCCUAGCUUAGUGUUGGGAAUCCACGGUCUCGUGGUUCCUUAAAGACAGUGGCGGAGCGAUAGAAGUCCUCUGAGCGCAGUAAUUCUUUUUCUCGCUUUGGUCAGGCUCUAUCUUCUCGCCAUAAAACCCCUAAUUUUUUUGUGGUUGACCUCGGAUCAGGUAGGAAUACCCGCUGAACUUAA